CAGAGCGCGUUGCGAGGCGCAGGACACCUGCCCAAGCCGGCUGCGGAAUGAUGCCCCGGGGGGGAGCUGCCUCCCCAAAACCACCAGGCAAGGGCAUCCCUCAUCAGCAGAACAAGUAGAUGGCCACCUUUGAGCCAGGACGUCGGGAGCCCUUAGACCUUGAAGAGGGCACGUCGCCAACUCGGCAAGCAAACUCAAGAUCCCUGUAUCCUUCGCUGAACUACCCUCAUCGUAAUACUAAAAAUCACGUCUGCGGGUCAAAAAGACCCUGGCCCAGGGUCGUGGCCGGCUCUCCCCAGCCCAAGGAGCAGGAGGGAGCGAAUCUACUUGAGUAAGUUCGGGGCUUUUCCGUGCACCUUCCCCGCUGACGGGAGGCGAGGGAUGCCGGGCAGAAGGUCUCAGCUCUGGCAAGCUGGUGUCUGGUCUCCAGUAGCACAAAGUGGGAUUUUUUCCAUGGGAAAACCAAACGCUCCACCAUCAAGGGUUCCCGUGAAUACCCAGUCCUGGUCCUCUGAGGACCAUCACCUCCAACCUUGAGGUUUCAGCCACAGAUACCUGAAGCUGAGGACCAUCAAGGUGGUCUCCCUGGGCUACACGUGGCUCCCCAGCUGGAUGGGGUCUCCUCCCCCUCUUGCAAGACCUCCCCGUGCCUGUGGUUUUCCUUGAUGAGAUAAGACCAUUCCGGGCACCCGCACUCGGCACAACCGGCUCCAGACCUGGUGAAUCAGCUACAUCCAAAGCCAGAGGCUUGGCUUAAAGUUCCAGGCAUGCAGAAAGCAAUAACGAAAGGGAUGAUUUUUCUCAUCAGUUUGCCUGUCUUUUCCAAGAUUGCGGUCCGCGACGCGGGGGGUUAGGUGGUUUUACUGGGGUCUUACUGAAAGCUGAAAUCCUGCCAGUCACGGGACUCCCGGAGGUGGGGCUUCGAAGAUGCUUCGAAGCUCUCCCCGCCAUCAGCCGAUGCCAUAAUGUUACUGUUAUUGCUGGAGCUGCUUUCGGGUGAGCAGCUGUAGCUCAGCCCAGGACAAGAGCGCCUGUCCCAAGCUCUUUGCACAAUUCAUGGCAUCCCUCGCGCAGGGGUUCGCGGGCCAACAACAACAUUAAAACAAUGUAAUGCAA